CGUGAGCGUGUGAGCACGUAACCCGGGAGCCGGGGCCCCUCGCAGGCUCAAGGACUGGCUGGCCGAGGACUAGAACGCUUCCUGAGACAUCCCGCUCUCCUCCUUGGAUGAAAGUGGCUUGGGAAAUCAGAGUUUUCUACUUGAUGGAGGAAAGAAACCCAGAGCGGCAGCCGCCGGCUGGACAGGGUGUGUGUCUGGAAAGGAGAAAGAGGAGGAGGAGGAAGAGGAGGAGGGCAAGCAGGAGGAGGAGGAAGAGGAGGAGGGGCGAGUGAUGCAAGGGUUUUGAAAACGCUACCUAGAUGUGGGAGGUGGAACCUGGUCAUUUGGUUCAGCUUUUCCCAGCAGGUAUCGCUCCCCUGGGGAACUUGGGUAAGUCCAUAAAUAGCUCUGCUGACACAAAGGAGCUCUGUCUGGGGAAGGCAGCCGCUUGACACGGGCGGCCGGGCGGCCAGGAGCUGCCACAGCCACGGCCGCCCGCCUGCCCGCCCGCCUGCCCGCCCGCCUGCGGGAGGAGCCCAGUGGAGACCGGGCUGGCGGGCUGGCCGGCAGGAGCGGCAGCUAGGAGCCUCCUGGGUCCCUGCCGGAGUGAAUUGGGUAGGUGCCUUGGUGACAGGGUGUGUGUGUGGUGUGCGGGGGGCUCUUGUCCAGGCCACCCCAUGCCCCUGUUUCUAUUGUUUCCUCCCCAGGGCAGCCAUUGAUGGCAUGUUGCAACUAAAUCGUGUGUAUUAUGCUCUGAGAUAGCUGUGUGUGUGUGUGUGUGUGUGUGUGUGUGUGUGUGUGUGCGCGCGCGCGCACACGCACGUUUGUGUGUGCGUGUCUGUCUUUCUCAGGGUCGAGGACCUGCAGGGUUAGGGCUAUUCUACCACUGUGUGCUGCUCCCCACUUCCAGGCUGGCCAGCCGGCUUUUCUUUCUGGGAGAAAGGAAUGUUUGGUGACCACAAGUUGGGACACUGCCUGGAGAGGGCGCGUUCAGCCAGCCAUGCUGGUGAUCCUGUCAGGGAUGCUGACCGUACUCCAGGCACCAGGGAUGGCUGCUUUUGCCUACUUCUGUGUCUGGGAAGGAGGUGGCCUGGGGGAGGGCAAUCUCAAUGGGGGGCUUGGCUGCGAUUCGAUAGACUUCUGCUGAAAUGUACACAGGAAACACAAGCAGGGAUGCUCUGCCUCCUGAGCCUCUUGGGAAAGGUCCUGCACCUGCUCCCUUGGCUCCAGUUGAGAUCUGUAGGGAGGGGGUAAUUGUUAGAGACCUGCUCACCCCGCAGAGCUAGCCACUAUGAGGGGACAGAGGCCAAUUCUUUUAUCAACUUGGAAGCUCCCCAUCUCUACUCUUGUCCUGAGGUGUCCAGGAAGAACCUUUGUGCCCCGGGACCUUAGAGCUGUGGAAGAGCCUAUGGUCCAGAUUGGGGAAGGGGCCAUGUCCACGCUGCAGGUCUUUGGCCGGGACCAAGAUAGAGGACUUCUGUCUCCUGGAACAGUGAGGACAGGAUACAUGGGUGCCAUUACCCUACCUGAGCUGCGUACCUCCCCUCUGAAUGUCGCAUUCCUGGCUUGAGAUGCCUAAUUAAGUACAGGGCCACCGGCCCCUUCACGGAAAAAUUUCCACAUCUUGCUGCCUUCAGGCCUAUGGCGGGGGGCUAUCUGGCUCCUCUCUUGAGAUGGCUGGAGUGGGUACAUCUCUUGGAAGGAAGGAAGGAGCUUCAGUGCCUGCCCACCAGUGCCUGUGGAUCCCAGCUGGGGCACUGCGGCCAUAGUCAAACUUUCCACCAGGGCCCCUGGAGUCCUCUGCACCCAGCCAAGGGGCACCUCCCUUCUUCCCCAGCCCUAGCACGUGGCAUGGCUUAGCCCGGGGCGGGCCCUUCAGGGAGCCAAGUUCCACAGCAGGGCUUGCUUCAGGCCCAGCCUGGCAUCUGAAAUAGCCAGGGGGACAGUGAAGACGGAGGCAGCUGAGGCGAGUGACCCCCUGUUGGGAAGCCUUCGGGGUCUCGAACCAGAAAUCCUUUCGGGGGCUUCCGAUGAUAGUACUUGGUAUCAGUGAAACCAUCCUACCCUCCAGCUUUCUUGCCUUUGUGCGUAUCCCCGCCUCCUGGAAAGCCCAUCUCUUCUGUCUAGGUCUUGAUCCUGGAGAACUCAGAUUUCUACAACUAGAGCAGAUACUGCUGUUGGAACCUGUCUCUCCAUUGGCGGUGGCACCCAGGGCGAUUGCUUUCGUGUCCUAUUAGGUCUUCUUCAUCUCUGAGUCCCUGGGCCUGGGGCCCAGGACAUGGUAGGAAAGGGUUAGGAUGGGCUUUCCUUGAGGACAAGCACUGACGUCCGAGUCAGUUCCUUCUGCCCACCUCCUCGCUCUUUGUGGCAGAUAGUGGGCCCUAUCAACUUGAGGACCUGGUGCAGAGCCCCUUGGGAGGAGACCUAGCUUCUGUGUGAGGCCAAGGGGCUAUUUUGAUGCCACAGGGCCAAGGGGUUGGGAGGUGGGAUUUGACAGGAGGUGGGACAGGGAGAAUCUUGUUUUCAGCCUAUCUGAGGCUGAGGUCGCCGUCUCGAGAGCCCACCCAGGAGUCAUACUGGGCUGGGUGGUGUUUACAUGGUCUGGGUCUGGGCCGUGGAGGAUGGAAGGGGAAGCCCCGGCUGCUUUUUUUUUUUUUUUUAAUUUUUUUUUUAUCUUUAUUUAUUUUUGAGAGAGAGACAGAGUGCGAGCAGGGGAGGGAGACACAGAAUCAGAAGCAGGCUCCAGGCCCUGAGCUAUCAGCACAGAGCUGGACGUGGGCCCCGAACUCACGAACCGUGAGAUCAUGACCAGAGCCGCAGUCGGAUGCCUAACCGACUGAGCCACCGGGGCGCCCCCCGGCGGCUUUGAAUGCAAUGUCCAUGGUCCUUUGCACAGACUGCAGCGGUUUGGAUCCGAGCUUGGGCCCCCUUGGGAUGGGGCCCCACCAUGGAGGUGGAUCUGGGGUUUUGUGUGAGGGUGGUUCUCAGCCAGUGGUCCGCCUGGCUUCCCCAGAAGAGGCACAGUUGAGGAGGGAGUGCCCAUGCCCAGCUGGGUUCCUGGAGGUUCUUAGAGCUUCUUCCCAUUUAGUUUCCCAAGGCCCUGGAGAUGACUGAGUCCAUUUGCUUUCUGGACAGAUAGGGGACUGAGGCAGGGGAGGAAGGACUUGCCUGAGGUUACAUUAAACUCAGCAGCCAAGUGGGCACGAGAACCCAGGUCUCCGGUUCCCCAGCUCAAAUCUCUGUGUCACACCAACUGGAUGACUCAGAGUACCUGGCUUUCAUCUUGAUGUCCCCCCUUUUUCAGACUCCCCCGUGACACAUUCCUUUCUAGAACCCCUCUGGCUUACCAGCUAGAACCUGGCUUUCCUCUGAAAAACUAUGUGCAGUAGAGAAAGCUCUUGUUUGGCCAACAGGCCAGAGACUGAGGCACAUUCUAGCUCCUACUCACUGGAUGAUCUCAGGCAAAAUUCCGCAACCCCCCCCCUGCAACCGGCUCAGUUUCCCCUUUGGAGCAACCAGGAGCUGGACCUUGCAGCCACCCAGUUCUUUGAGUCUCUGUAGACCCUCUUCUCUUCUGGGCGUUACUGGUCAAGGCCAGGGUCUGGCUUAGCAGGAAAGCAGCCCCUAACCUGUUAUUCAGGCAGUUUUGGUCAGAGGCCUUCUCAUGCAGGCUGGAGCCCAGGCCAGGGCUGGGAGGUUUGUUGUUGUUUGUGGAGCCAGGCCGUUUCCAAGAUGUCAUUGCUCAGGGAAAACCGUCAUUCCUCCCAGGGAUAAACAAGGCUGCUUAUGGCUCAGCCCGCUAAGCCCAGAGAGGCUGGAGCCACUCACAGCAGGCCAGCCAGGCUCAGCCCCAGGGAGCUGCCACCUUCUCCUGCACAGCCAGCUGCACCCAGGCGUCUGGGAUUGGGGUGGGGGUGGGGCAGGACUGGGGAGAGGGGUGCUGGGGCCAGGAGGUGCUUGGCAGAUCGGAGCCUCUAGGCACAGAGGAGAGGGCGGGGGCUCCCAGGAGACCCUCUUACCCUCUUUCUCUGGCGGUGGGCCUUGACCAUCACUCCAGAUGUAUGGAUAGCUGCCAGGUGUGCUCUCUGUUCCAGAUGGCCCGGGGCUUGUCCCCUUCCCUUGCCUGCGAUGGGCCAGCCUGCUUGCACCUGGCACCAUAGAUCAGGCUGCUGCUGGAGAACUGUCAGCGGCUCCCAACUUAGAAAGGCAGGGGGUGUAGUAAGUUAUUUGGAACCGGGCAUGCCUUUCUCCGCGUGGCCAGGGCUCUCUGUGGUGUCCUCAGUUACCUCCUGGUGGGGUUAGCCUCAGGCCAAUAGUGGAAUCAGGCUCUCCGGGCAGAAGGUGGGGGAACAUGGGGGGAGGGGAGAAAGAGCAGGGCAGAGCCUCUGGGAGCCAGCUGGCUGGCCACAACCUUGGAGAUAAGGUGGGGGCAGCCGGGGGUGGGAGGAAGGCCAUGGAAUGGAAGGCCAUGUGGCCGUGCUUCUCCUUAAGUCAGGGGCUGCAACCAAUGCCCAUCCAGGACACUGAAACCAUCACUGCUCGGACCUUGAUUAAUGGAGUUCCCAGCUGAUCUCACUCAGUAACAGCUCUGAACUUGUCUGCUCUGCCUCCCUCCCUCCCUUCCACACUUGUUAAAUACUUGCUAGGUACCAUGCAUCGGCCAGGUACUAGAGGUAUAGACAUAAAGGGCCCAAUCUUCAAUCCAGUGCCAACGAUGGGCAUGUGAUGGAUGGUAGCAACACAGCUCUGAUGCGGACACUUGGGGAGGGGGGAACCCUGAGGAAGCUUCCAACCCAGCCUGGGAGCCACAGCAAAACUUCCUGCAGGAGGUGAGGCUGAGUCUGGAUGCAUGGGUGCUUGUCCAUCGAAGGAGCAGGUCUCUGUCCCGGUCUCUCCACCCUUCUGCAGUGUAGACGCGGUUCCCGCCUAGCCACAGAAAUCACCUGUGUGUGUCCAGGCACUGUUCCUUCUAAUCCCAGGGGGAGGCUGUGUAGUGUGCUUCGUGCAGGUGCGUGGGCUCUGGACUGGAGAGAGAACAGGCUCUCCCACGCGUGGUACAGCUGUGUGCCCUUGGGCAAGACACUGAACCUCUCUCUCCUUGCCUGAGUCUCUUCAGGCAAUGGCCCGGCCUCACUGGUUGAAUGAGAUGAUGUGUGUGCAUGAAGCGCUCCGUGUGCACUAACGCUGAGUCGUGGCAGUGGCUGAGUGCCACUCGCAUGUCACCUCACGGUGGCUGUUCUUGAACAAGAUGAUGUGGGCGAAGUGAGGCGCUUGGCGUGGGGUCUGACAUGGAGUUGGUGUUCUGGAAACAGGAGGUGGUGCAGCGGCUUUUGGGGGAGUCCGAAUGUGCUAUCAGAGAUGUGCACCAAGGAGAGGGGCUCAUGGAGGAAGGAGGGAACAGGGGGACACCAGGAUGAGGGCUUUUGUUUGUCUUUAAAUAAAUUUCUCCGUUGAAAUGCAACAUAGUUUCAAAAUGGUUGGAACUAUACAGCUGAUGAAUUUUCACAAAGUGAACAAACUCUCCAGGUCAAGAAAUAGAAUAUUCUAGUACCCAAGAAAUAGCCCUGCACCCUCCCCUUUCAGUCACUACCACCUCAAACAUAACCUCUGUCCUGACCUUCUCUCAUUGAUUAGUGUUGCCUGAUUUUGAACUUUGUAUACCUAGAAUCACCAAGCAUGCACUCUUUUUAAAACUUUUUAAAAAAUGUUUAUUUAUUUUUUUAGAGAGAGAGAGAGACAGACAGAGUGUGAGUGGGGGAGGGGCAGAGAGAGGGACGGAGACACAGAAUCCGAAGCAGGCUCCAGGCUCUGAGCUGUCAGCACAGAGCCCGACUUGGGGCUUGAACUCACGAACUACAAGAUCAUGACCUGAGCGGAAGUUGUACACACUCAACCAACUGAGCCACCCAUGCGCCCCAAGCAUGCGCUCUUUUAUGCUGACUUCUUUGGGUCUGCAUUUUGAUGAUGAGACUUGUCAACGUAACUGUAUGAAGUUUUAUUUUGUUCCUUCUCACUGUUGUAGGAUAUUUCGUUGUGUGACGAUGUUGCAAUUUAUUCAUUUCUCCUGGUGAUGAACAUUUGGCUUGUUUCCAGUUUGAGUUUAAAAUGAAGAGUACUGCUCUGGAGAAUCUCAUAGAUGUCUUUUGAUAGGCUGUAUCUACUUUUCUGCUGGGUAAAUACCUAAGGUUUACAACUGCUGAGUCAUAAAGUGGUAUAUAAUUAGCUUUAGUAGAUACUAUCAUAUAAUUUCCCAGGCUUGACACCAUUGCCCUCUUUGAGCUGUGUAGGAGAGAGCUUCUGUUACUCCACAUCCUUACCACCACCACACCAACCAGUAUUAGAUAUUGUGAUAACUAAAUAUGGUUUUUUAAUUUCCAUUUCCUUGGUGACUAAUGAGGUUUGGGACCUUUCCAUAUGUUCAUUGGCCACCUCUUAGUGAAGCACCUGUUCACGUGUAACCUUCCUCUCCCUCCCCCCCUCCUCCCCUGCCACAUUUUCUAUUGGGUUGUCUGUCUGUCUUUUUCUUAUUGGUUUGUGGAAGCUUAAAAAAUAUUCUGGGUAUAUUUUCAUUGUGGGAUAUAGACACUGCAAACAUCUCCUUUUGCUCUGCGUCUUACCUUUUCAUUCUUUUGACGAGGGUAUCCUCUGAAGUACGGAAGUUCUUAAUGCAGUCCAACUUGUCGGUCUUUUUCUUUACCGAGAGGGCCGAUCGAAUCCCGUUUCUUUGCCUGUUACCAAGUUGCGGGUGUGUUCUAUGUUAUCUUCCAGAUAUUCUGUCGUUCUAUGUUUCAUAUUUAGAUCCAAAAUCUACUUGAAAUAGAUCCUUAUGUAUGGUGGAUGGUGAGGUCAAGACUCAUUUUCUCAGGGUGGUUAUCCAAUUAAUGAAAACACCAUCCUCUCUCACUCUAGGGCAUCAUCAUCUUUGUCGGCAAUCGAGGGGACAAUACACGUGUGGGUGAGCUCAAUUUUGAAGGAUCAGUAGGAGUUUGCCCGGUGGACAAGGGAGGGCAGGGUGUUCUAGGUAGGAAGUACAGUGAGGAGAGGUUUCGAGGUGCCUGAGAGUGGAGUGUGUUUGGGGAACUACAACUAGUUUAGACUGGCUGGGGGAAGAGAAAUGGCGUGGCGGGAGGUCAGGUGGCAGGGGCCGAACACACAGGGUAAGGAGCUGGGACUAUCCUAGGGGGAUAGAAGGGUUUGCAGCAGGAGAGGAAUAUAAUCAGGUCCGUGUGAGGGAGAUGAGAGAGAGAGUCCCAGGCCAGGAGGAGGCCAGAAGGAUGGUUUUGGAACUGCAACCCCAGAUAAACCCAGCGUCAACGUCACCCCUUAACAGAAAGCGUGUCUGCUUCAGAGAGGCAGGGUUGGAGGUCACAGCGUGCUGGGGAGGGCCUUGGAGGUAACCACCAAUGGCUUGUGGCCAGAUACCCAUUCUGGCAUCCUGGAAUGGAAGAGCCUCCUCCCUCAACUCCCCCCACCCAGUGCCCCCGGCACUGAAGACCCUGAAAGAAGAACAUUUUAGGAACUGGGGCGGACAGACAAGCAUUGGGGUCUCUGAAGAGGGGGUGCUUUCUGCUCCUCCUGCCCUCCAUGUGCCCACAAGGAGACCUGACCAUACCUUGAGCCCUGAUUCCUUCAGGCUGGCUGAGAUUCAGAGCUGGACAGACCCCCUCCAGAACAUGUGGCCUGGAGAGAAGAGGGAUUUGGCUUCGGCCACACAGGGAGCCAGACUGACCCAGCCUAGGGGAAACCGAGCACAGGCUCAGCUACCUCUCCAGCCUCCAGGGCCUUUGUUACCGGCCUCAGUUUUCUCCCCUGGAAUGCACAGAUAACAGUGCCCCCAUCUUAGGGGGAAGAAUGUGCCAAGUGUCCUCUCCCAGAGUGGGAUGCAAGGAAGGAGACUGGUGAUCUCUGUGAUGACAGUAAUAAGUCUGAUUACAGGAAUUGGAAAUGUUCAUUGAACACUUACUAUGUGGAUUACCUCCCAACAAUGCCGUGAUGUAGGUAGUCGUGACUUACGUCACCACUUACAGAUAAGGAAACUGAACCUUGAAUCGGUUAAGCAGCCUGUCCAGAGGUUAAAGGCACCUAGCUAGGAAGUGGCAGAGGCAGGACAUGAACCUGGGUUUGUCUGUCUCCAGACCUCGGUUCUUCACCAGCAUUAGGCUUCCCCCACCCACGACCCCCAGCUCUGAAGGCACCUCUGUUCUCAGAGCUGUUGCUUGGAGUGAAGCCUGAGAUUUCGGGUUGGUCCCUGUACCUGCUAGGAGGGAGAGCCAAGCGGUGGAGAGGGAGGGCCCCCCAGUGGGCUGAGCACUGCUCUGCCCCCUGACUCAGCCACAGGGUUAGGAAGUGAGAUUGGACCCCAGGCCUGCCUGGUUCCCAAUCCUGGUCUCACGGCCACAGUGCUAUUUGUGCCCUUCCCUGGGGUCCUCCCAGCUUGGCGGAGCUUUUUUGUUUGAUCAGCCCAGCAUAGAAUAUCACAGAGAAGCCACACGCUUCUGGCUCACCCCGCGCAUGAAGUGGUCUCUGGAGGGAGACGGUUUGGGAAGGUCACCAGAUGUGUGGAAUUCUACCCCACCCUGCCCCCCGCCAGGCGAGUCAGACACCUGUCCCUCGGUCUCCAGCAGUUUGCGGUAUGAGCAGGGCCCCUGAGUCUGGUAUCGCUCACUGUGCCUAGCACAGUGCCUGGCCCAGAUGGGUGCUUGGGAGGGAGGGGGUGAGGAAGGGCGGUGAAGGGGCAAGAAAGGAGGAGAGGAGGCCAUGGGGUAGUAGAAAGAGAAAGGGCUUUGGAGCCAGGCUGACCAUGGUUUCAGUUCGACUCCUCUGCUCACUUGCUUUGUGAUCUUGCACGUUACCUUAACCUCUCUGAGUCUCAUUUUCCUCGUUUGCCAAAUCGGGCCAAUGGUCCCUACCACACAGGGUUGCUGGGGUGCAAGAGUGUAUGGAAAGCAACCGUCACGGUGUCGGCAUUUGGUAGACACUCAAUUUAUGGUUUCUUUCUUCCUCUCUCCCCCAUAUCCUUUUCUUUGUUUUCUGUUUCCAUCAUCUCUGGCUCCACCUCCCCUAUCUCUACAGCAGCACGUAAACACUGCUCUCAGGGUCCAAGUCCAAGUCCAAAUUCUUUACCAUAUCCAUGCUUCUGUUCCAUGGAACCACCUGCACUUCCUCGAAUGUUCCAUGCUAUCUCUGUCUCUGGCCCGGACAUCCUCUCCCAUCCCUGUCCCCAUUACCUCCUCCAAGAGCCAUCCCCAUCUUUCCUGCUGCCUCUGUGCUUCCAUAGCCCCCUGGGGGAGCAAUGGGCAUGUGCGGGGUUGACGCGGGUCCUUCACCUGGCUCUCUGCCCCAUAGAUCAGCACCUUCCGGGAAGGGAAGGUGUCUUGUCACUGUUUGCCCCGCACAGGCCCUGGCACAUGGCUGGAGAUCUGUAGGUAUUUGCUGAGUAACUCUGGGGGUGGGGGUGGGAGGGAGUGAGCUGGGGACAUAAUCUUGAUGAGCCAAAACAGGGCAUGCCCAGGACCCCGAGAGCAGGGCAGGCCGGGCACUGGCAGGAAUACAGAGAGCCCCCUAGCCAGGGCAUCCCAAGGAGCAUUUCACUGGGCUCCAGAGGAUGGGAAGGAGAUGAACUUGAGGAGGGGGACGCAAUAGGAAAGUGAGUCCGUGCGGACACACAUGUGGACCGGGCAGAGAAAGGGGUGCCAGGUGGGAAGGGGAAUGGUGGCAGGGCCCUCAGGGGGCUGGUUCUGAGCAGAGAGCCCGGGGGCAGGAGAGGCCCCCGGGGCUUGGCGCUCUCCUUCUGACGGAGGCAUGGGUCCCUGUGGGGACAGGAAGCAGCUGGGACAGCCCUGCUCUCCACUCUUACAGCUUUCAGGAGAGAAGAGGGCCGAGGUGUGUGGCAGGGGUCUUUGGGCUGUGGGGGGCCACCAAUCCAGGCUACCCCCACGCACUGAAGCAGUGGCAUCUGGGAUCCAAGGGAAGGAGCUUGGCAAGGUGCGGACAGGGGAGCUUUGUCCUGGAAACUCAUAUCUCGGGAACUGCUUUCCCUGCCCAGUGAGAAGCUGGGCGUGCAGGAUGGUGCCAGGCAUCCCAUCAAAGCACCAAAGGCCAGGCCUGAAGACAUGUCCUUCAGGCUUACCCAGGCCCCUUCUGGGUUCUAAGGGAAGCUUCUAAGAGGGUUCGCCUCAGUUCUCAUUCCUCAGGGUUCUUCUUCCCUGUGUGUUGGCUUCGUCCCGAGUUUCUGGACUGGAAGAGCUGCUUCUCCUCUGUGCCUCACUAUUGCUUUCAGUCAACAGGUAUGCUCCCUGUUGUGAUGUGUUGCCGUCCUGAGUCCCCAACAGACCCAUGAGUGUAGUCGUGGGAUCCUUUAGGGAUGGAGAAUUUUCCAUCUGUAUUCAAAUUCCUCCUUCCUUUCUCUCCUGGAUUUGGGCCUCUGUUAAUAGGAAACAUGAAUGGGUAGCUUGCGAGGGAGCUUGCCAGCUCCUUAUCUGGGGACGAGGGGCUGCUGAGGUCAUGCCUCUUCUGCGUGGGCCUCCGUUAUGGCGGGAGCGGUGUUUGUUGGGACUGGUCCUACACUAAGUUCUGGUCUGCAUUCUCGUCCUGAUUCUGUUGUAUGGCCUCGGGCACAUCACCUCCCAUCUCUCGGUCUCACUCACCUUAUCUGUUAACUGGGGCUGCUCCCCAGAAUUAUCUGUGGAGUUAGAAAGAAGUCAAGAUACCAGCUCUACUCUCAGGGAAUCUUAUCCAGUAAGUCUGGAAUUGAGCCCAGAUACAGAUAUUUUUAAAAUGCUCCACCGGUGAUUCUAAAGUGUACCUCUCUUUUGAGAACCAAUAGUCUGGAUCAGUGCUAUUUUUAAUGUGCAAAUUAAUCUCUCGGAAUCUUGGUAAAAGGCAGAUUCUGAACCAGGAGCUGUCGGUUGAGGCCUUAAGAUUCUCUAUUUCAUGUGAGGUUCCAGCUGCUGUUGCUACUGCUGGUUCAGGGGCCACACUUCAGGUCCUAAGAGUCUAGAUGGUCCUGUGACAUUCACUGGAUUGCCCAUUCCUUCCUUCCUUCAUCCAUUCAUCCAUCCAUUCAUUCUCAUCAAACACUUAAGAUGGGUAGUGGUAGGAGGUGAAGUCAGAGGAAGACAGACCCCAGGCUCUCUCAGGGCUAGAGGAUUGGGACUUACCUGGAGGGCACUGGGGAGCCUUGACAGGGCUUUAAGCAGGGGAGUGACAGAGUCAGAUUUGCAUAAAAGGCUCCCUGGCAUGGCCACUAAAGGGGUCUGGGCUGCCGCUGGGAGGUCCACCUCCAUUCUGGUGGGAGAUGACAGUGUCCUGGGGGGAGGUGGUGGUGGUGAAGGUGGAGGGAGUGGAGAGAUUAUUUUUUUCUAAGCUAAUACACCUUGUUUUUAAAGCAGUUUUAGGGAUUGAGAAGAAAGUAGAGAGAGUUCCCGUAUACUCCCUGACCCCAAACAUGCAUAACCUACCCUGGGGGAGUGAUUCUGAAGAUACUCCCAGGGACAAUCAGGAGGUGUUGGUGGCUGGCCAGAGUAGUGGGGGUGGUAGUGAAGGGAAAGGGAGAAAGGGUGGAACCCAGGUCCCUGGUUUCGGCAGCUGGCGGUGGCAUCAUUGAUCGAGUGGACUUGCAUUCAGCAUGAGACAUGUUGAGCUGGGGGCACCAGCGGGAUGUGCAGAGGGAGGUCUCUAUCUCUGUGCCUGGGCCCUAGCCACACAGACCUCCUCUGUUCCCCCACUGCGCAGGCGUCCCUGGUGAACCCUCUCCUGCCCAUCGAGCAGAUCUGGGGCUCAGUGUCAUUGCAGAGUGGCCUUUCCCACGUGGCGCUGCAUUCUCUCCUGUGGCACUCUAUGGUUUUCCUGCCCAUCAGCGAUCACACUUUGCAUCUAUUACAUGUUUCUGUGGGCGACUGACCGACGAUGUGGCUCAUGUCAGUCCUUCCUCUCUGGCCUGGAAGCUCCCCCAGGACAGGGACUGUGUCUCUCUCAUUUCCCAUUGUGCCCACAACGCCUAGGACAGUGUUCUGGAGCAGCGCUGCUUCAUGAGUACUUGGUGAACACUCACCUCUGGAAUCUAGACUCAGGAGACAGGUCGGAGCCGGCAGUGUGGGCUCGGGGGUGGCAAGAUGGCACGGAUGGUGACUGAACCCCAGGGGAGCGGAUGGGUGCACAAGGGAGUAGGCAGGACUGAGAGGGGCAGGAGCCUGGGACAGGUUCCCACGGACAGGCCAAGAGGCUCAUGACCUCAUGGGGUUGUCAGAUGGGUGGGAGCAAAUCCAAGGAGAGAGAUGUCGAUGAUGGGCGGUCCUGCGGUGGUCGUGGCUGCCAUUCCAGCGCUUCGUGUGGCCACGCGGUGCCACGCUGUGGGUGCACACCAGCUCAGCACGCCUCCUGCAGCACCGGGGAGCUGUUAUGAAUCCCAUGUUACAGCUGAGGAAACUGAGGCUCAGAGAGGCUAUACCUGAGGUCACCCAGCCAGUGAGUGCGGUGGGGCUCAGUCUCCAGAGCUCUCUCCGCUGUACGGUGUCAUCUGUCUCCUCCUUGUUCGGUGCCAAAACUGCCAGGUUGGGGACAGGGGAGGAGGACAGCUGCCGGGAGGCCCUGAGCUGGCAGGCAGAGGCAGGGCCGGGGGUGGCUCCAGCCUCUCCGUGUCAAGAAAUCAGGCUGAGGAGCUGCACCGAGGCUGGGCUGGGGGAGCUAAGCGUUGGCCAGGCAGCUGAGGUUCCUGGAAGCCAGCACCAUGCCAGGGACCCAGAAGCCAGGGAGCUGCUCAGGAGCCCAGAACAUGCCAAACUUGAAGGAGCAACCCCGUCUCAAAAGUCAAGCCUGGAGGUCUGAGGCGCUGGGCAGGAAUUCGAGUAACCUCUCCCUUUCUCUGGCGACUUUCCAGUUGACAGAGCACUUUCCUGUCCUUUCUGAGACUUGGUCCCCUCAGCCCUCUGGGAGGGGGAUGGGGCGUGUGGCAGGAAGUGUCCUCACUUCAUGGCCCAUUUCAUGGCUGAGAAAACCAGACGCGAUAGCCUGGUCGCACAGCUAGCAAAGGAUGGAGGGAGGAUUCCAGCCCAGGUCUUCUGGCUUUAUGUCCAGCGCUCUAUCUGUAAAAUCCUAGCUGUGUAAGCGUGACCCGGAGACAAAGGCAAACCCCAAUUCUCAACCCCCACCUCCCGCGCCAGUGCAGGAAGUGGUUUUUGAGGGCAGAUACAGAGCCCGGCAUCUGUGGUGGAUGUGAUGAGUCAUCUCAGAGUGAGAGCUGCAGGUUGACUCUGGGGUCAGCAGACCUGGCUCCACAUUUAGUAGCUGUGUGACAUUGGGCAAGUCACUUCCAGGAGCUCGCUGCCACCCUCCUACCCCAGUAGCAGGUAUAGGGGUGGGAGGGCUCUGGGGCCCAGGAGAUGCUCUGGGAGUCCUACCUGCCACCCUUCCCAGCCUGUUCUGAGUCCUGGAUUGGACUGGGGGCAGGGUUUGAUUAGAUCCUAAACAGCAGCUUCAUUUGGAGGGCCUGGCUCAUUUCCUGUGUGCUUCUAGCAGGCAAGACAAGGACAGAAUUCACACUGGUCCAGCCAAGCCAAAGAAGUGAUGGAUGGGAGAGAUACAGACUCCCCACAGCAAGGGGACAGCUAGCUGCACAGGGCACCGUGGACCCAAAGCCCUGGGCCAGCAGGCCGAUCUCUCUGGAGCACCGUGGCCGGAUUCUUAUCACCCCAACCUGUUGCAAAGCUGCCUAACUGGGUUUUGCCAGCUGCUGCUGCCUCCCCCCGUCAGAGCACUCACCAGACCCGCCAGGACCAGUUGUCCAGCCUCUGUUUUUUCUGCUCAACUGAGGGCAGGGAUUGUGUCUGACUUGUCCCCGUCUGUCCUCUCAGGGCCUUACUCAGUGCCUGGAGAAUGAACGAACGCUUGUGUGUUUGUAUGCAUGCGUGUCCCUGUAGCCCUUCCCCCACCCCCAUACCCUGCUCACACUGCUCAGGGCAGUUCUGACGUAGCAGGGCUCUGCAGGUGUCACUCUGUUCCUCAUAGGACAGUCCCGCAUCUGGCAUCCAUUGUGACAUGCUCUCACCUUUAUCUCUUUUUCGGUCCUAAUUCCUUCACUUGCCACCCCUCCCCCCUGCCGAAAUUUCUGAGAUUUCCUAUAUUUGCUCCAGAACCUGCCUUCCCCAAGGCACUCCCAACCCCAGCUCUCCCAGGAACACUGGCCUGACCAAACCUAUCUGGGCAGUCACACAAGCCUGGUCCUGGAGCACAGGAAGGAACCAGAGAGCUCAGGCCCUUCUUUGCGAGUAUCUGCCCUGUGUGUGUGGGGGGGGAGGGCCCAGGUGAGGGGGCUUAGGUAGUGUUCACUUGUGUUGACUCCUGGGUCCACCAUACUUGUGUAUAAGGGCCCAACGAAGCCAGGAGACAUGAGUGCUAAUACUAAAUCAGCCUCCAAUUUCUUAGGUCAUUCCCUUAGCUUCUGAGACCUCAGUUUCCCCAUCUGUAAAAUAAGACUGGACUGACGAUAGCCGCCAUGUUAUCAAAUGCCUCUUCUGGGCCAGUGUGACUCUUCUGAGUCCAGUGUGAUGUCGUGGCCCUGCUCCAGGUGAGGAGACGGGGCCAAGAGGGCAAGAGGCUUGCCAGAGGUGCCCAGCCGGAGGGUGACAGCACUGACAUGUGAACGUGGCUCCCUGGGCACCCUGGGAGCCCUGAGAGCUCGUGGGGUGGUUUCUCUGCUGCCUGGGGCGAGGGUGGGGGGAUGGGGACAGGGGCACUUCCCCUUCUGGCUUUGUUUGGUUUGGCCUCCGUUUGGGGCAGGAUUGGCAGAGGCUGGCUGACUUGCAUUUCUGGUUUUGGGUCUGUGGCUGCGCUUUCGGAGGGGUAGGAGGGGUAGGAGGGGUAGGCGGGCUCAGGCUCUGUCACCGCUGGGAAGGACCCGGCCCCACCCCCACCCCCACCCCCAGGAAAGGGGAAAUGCCCCCUGCUCCCCCCCACCCCCCACCCCGUCAGGGCCACUCUGUGCCAGGCCCUGAGGAGCACGGGCUGCUGCUUCCUUCUGUGGGUCCUUCCAGGUGGGGGGAGGGGGGGCGGGGUCUGGCCCAGGGGGAGGGGGACUGAAUGUGGGUGAAUGGGGGGGCUGGCUGUUUGUUUUUCUGGAGGAGAAUGCUUCCCUGCGGGUGGGGUGAGGGGCGGAGGACUGGACUGCUCUGGAAUGAGAUCAGAAACGGAGCUGGAAAGAAGGAGCCAGAGGCCUUGCUCCAACCCCAGCCUAGCAGGAGCAGCCGACUGGUACGGGUGUUUGGGGACUUGUCUCUAGGUCACUGUUCCGGGCUGGGCUGUCAGUCAGCAGGGGGGCUGUCUCUCUCCCUGGGAACAGUCUGAUGAAGCUAAAGCGCAGAUCUUAGUUUCCAGAUGAGAUUUCUGGACUGAGAGGCCUGUCAUCACAAUCACCAACUUUGAUUCUGGGUAUUUGGCCAAGUUUGCUUCCGGGGUCCAUGGGCAAGAUGUGCCACUAUUUGAGGUUCAUGACUUGAGCGUUUCCCUUUAGAUCCGCUGUUUAGUCACCACUGAUACCACCACCAGUAUCCCGUUGAAGACUUUUAUACUUUUGGGGAGCCUGGCUGGCUCAGUGGGUAGAACAUUCAGCUCUUGACCUUGGGGUUUUGAGUUCAAGCCCCACAUUGGGCGUGGAGCCUACUUUAAAAAAAAAAAAGAACUUUAUACUCUCUAUGGUAUAUUCUCCUGGUUUGUCACUUGGGCAUGUUGGUUAUUUCAGUUAAUGGGUGGAGACCUUGAGACCCGGAGGGUUUAGUGACUGGCUUCCCCUAGUCCCAUUGUGUGAUUCGCCCUCUCUGGGCCUCAGCCUCCCCCUCUGUGUGCUGCGGACUUGGGAUCACUGCCGUUUUGGGGUCUGAGGGGUCCCUGGGUGGAGGGUACAAUCUUCUCCCAAGAGGGUCUUUGGCUGUGCCUGAGAACCAAACCCUGACCAGAUCAUCCCAGAGUCCUCUGAGGUCCUCCCUGCUACCUUGCUCAGUUCCCUCUCCAUGGGGGUGCGGUGGUGGGGGGACACCUUUCACUUUCCCGCUCUCAGGCAGUGGCUCUUACCCACACUGUGCUCUCACAACCCUGGUGCUCCCAGAUGUCAGUGGGACCCCUGACACAUGUGGGGAGCACCCUACCACUGGGGCCACGGACUCCCAGAUACGAGCCUGGCUGGGGCUUCACUGUCACACACUCCCCAGGGCUUAAAAGAUUUCUCUGCUUUGGGCAUAACCUUUCGGUCCCGGGCAGCUUGUGCCAUAGUGGGAAAGUCACUGCUGUUUGCGCUCAGCAUUGUCAUCCGUCAAAUGGACAUGAACGGUCUCUACAAUGAGAGCUCCUAACCUAUGUUCUGGGAGUACUUACCUCUCAGAUUCUCAGCCAGUGUCCACGCGCGCCUGUGUGUGUGUGUGGGCACACACACGUGCACGUGUGGCCAGGAACGUGUGGCCACUUUCUCCUUCAUGAGACAGCUGUGGCCUCUUGAUGGGUGAAACCUGGAUUCCAGAUAGUUCUCAUUCCAACAUUCCAAAUCCUCCAGUGUGAUGAGGGGCCCAGCCCGGCCUCGAGACCUGCUUCCCCUGUGUGGCCUUAGCGCGCCUGGCCUUCUCCGAGCCCCAGUGUUCCUGUGAGCAAGCUGCCUUUCGGACUUCAUCAAGGGCCCUAUUUUUCCCUUUGCAAAUGAAGUCUGUAGGAAUCCAGCAAAAACUUCAAGGGUUCUGAGGGUUGUAUGUCAGACAGGAAAUGCUUUCUUUGCUGUGCAGAACUCCUGAGGUUCCUCCAAACACAGUUUGAAAAUCACUGGGUGGAGGAUCCCUCAGCGAGGUCCCAUGUGCCUGGGACAUCUGUUUAGUCCAAAUAGGGCAAUAUUUUGAAGUUCUGAUUUCAUUCCAGUUUACUGGUUUCAAAGAGACACUUAAAGGGGCGCCUGGGUGGCUCAGUCGGUUAAGCGUCCGACUUCGACUAAGGUCACGAUCUCGUGGCUUGUAGGUUCGAGCCCCGCGUCGGGCUCUGUGCUGCCACCUCAGAGCCCGGACCCUGCCUCAGAUUCUGUGUCCCCCUCUCUCUCUGCCCCUUCCCCCACUCACACUCUGUCUCUCUCUCCCGCAAGAAUAAAUAAACAUUAAAAAAGAAGAGAGAGAGAGAGAUACCUCAAUAUUCAGAGCGAGUCUGGUUUGAAUAGGAUUUUUUAGAACUUUAGCUCAGGUAGAAGAUACCCUUUGGCCAGGUCUAAGCUUCUAUCACUUUGUGAUUGCUCUGACUUGGGACUUGAGUUGGUCGAGAUGAAGGCAGAGACUGCCUGGCUCCUCCUUUACUAACAGGGACACCAUGACACUUCCUUUAGGGGGCUGCUGGAAAGACAAUACAAGAGGAGUGUUUAAUCUGGCGUGACCCCGGCACACCAUAGGAGCCAGAAAAUCAUGGUUACCUCUCCUCCUUCUCCCGCUAAAUGACCAACCACGUUUUUGAUAGAGCAGACAGAAGAUUCAAGCAAGGAGAGAAGGGUGGGAACCCGUGUACAGCUAAGCCAAAGGGGCUUUCAGGUUUCCAUUUGGCACUUUAGCUUUUAGACUGUGGGGUGUCAGGUGUGGGGUUCAGGCCUUUGCCUGAUUUAUUUCGGCCUCUGUGAUGCUGGCUCAUGCACGGUGCCUGGCAUCUCAUAGCCUCUCAUUCUGAGCUUUUCUUGUUUGCUUCUUGUUUCCCAGAUGUUUGAGCCAGAGGCGGAUGAGAAGAGAGAGAUGCCCUUGGAGGAAGGGAAGGAGCUGGGUGCCGAGGACCCCCCACCCAACAAGGACCCCUCUUAUGGCCAGGAGCCUCCUUCAGGACAAGACUUUCCACCCAAUAAGGAGUCCUCUUCUGUCCAGGAACCUUCUCCUGGCCAAGAACCGCUGUCCAGCAAAGACUCACCUUCCUGCAAGGAACCUCCUCCAGGCCAGGAGCCCUGGCCAAGCAAGGACUCCCCACCAUGCCAGGAACCCCCUGCCCUCCCUCCCUGCCAGGACCUUCCUACUAGUCAAGGACCCCCUCCAAGCCAAGACCCUCAAGUCAGCCAAGACCUCCCUGUCAUCCGGGACCCCCCUGCUCAGGAGCUUGAGCCCUGUCAAGAUCAGGUCCCCCUGCCAGCUGAGGAGACCACAAGCUCUGGGGACCCGCCAGCAGCCCCUGGAGAUCUGCCUGUGGCCUCCAGGCCAGCCUUCGUGAUCCCCGAGGUCCGGCUG
rnacentral:lncRNA from 1 species